GUUACAUUAAUGCUCCGUAGAGCCCAAACAGACAGGACGAACGUGUGUGUGUGUAUAAUAGGGAGAACCCGCCUCGGCCCGACGAGUCAACCCCGUCGGACGGCCGAGACGCUUCCCCCAUAGGUGCACAGGGGUAUGUGUAUUGGGAUUAUAGAAGGCGCACGACAGGUCCACCGUCCCCCGGGGGACGACAGGACCACAGUGCCCACGCCCCCUUUAAAGCGAUAAUACUGUAAUGAUCCUUCCGCAGGUUCACCUACGGAAA
rnacentral:misc_RNA from 1 species